GCCCAGGUGGCGGAAUGGUUUACGCGAGUGACUUAAAAUCACUUGAGAGAAAUCUCAUGCGGGUUCGACUCCCGCCCUGGGCA
rnacentral:tRNA from 2 species